rnacentral:rRNA from 1 species
GUACCUACGGGGGGCAGCAGUGGGGAAUAUUGCACAAUGGGGGAAACCCUGAUGCAGCAACGCCGCGUGAAGGAAGACGGUUUUCGGAUUGUAAACUUCUGUUCUUAGUGAAGAAGAAUGACGGUAGCUAAGGAGCAAGCCACGGCUAACUACGUGCCAGCAGCCGCGGUAAUACGUAGGUGGCGAGCGUUAUCCGGAAUGAUUGGGCGUAAAGGGUGCGUAGGCGGCCUGCUAAGUCUGGAGUGAAAGGUACCGGCUCAACCGGUACAGGCUCUGAAAACUGGCGGGCUAGAGAGCAG